UACAGAGGUCUCAAGCGUUGUUCGGAUUCAUUGGGCGUAAAGGGUGCGUAGGCGGCGCGGUAAGUCGGAUGUGAAAUCUCGGAGCUUAACUUCGAAACUGCAUUCGAUACUGCCGUGCUUGAGGACUGGAGAGGAGACUGGAAUUCAUGGUGUAGCAGUGAAAUGCGUAGAGAUCAUGAGGAAGACCAGUGGCGAAGGCGGGUCUCUGGACAGUUCCUGACACUGAGACACGAAGGCCAGGGAGCAAACGGG
rnacentral:rRNA from 1 species